GAUGAAGAACGCAGCGAAAUGCGAUAAGUAAUGUGAAUUGCAGAAUUCAGUGAAUCAUCGAAUCUUUGAACGCACAUUGCGCCCGCUAGUAUUCUGGCGGGCAUGCCUGUCCGAGCGUCAUUUCAACCCUCAAGCCCCCGGGCUUGGUGUUGGGGAUCGGCGAGCCUCCGCGCCCGCCGUCCCCUAAAUCUAGUGGCGGUCUCGCUGUAGCUUCCUCUGCGUAGUAGCACACCUCGCACUGGGAAACAGCGCGGCCACGCCGUUAAACCCCCAACUUCUGAACGUUUGACCUCGGAUCAGGUAGGAAUACCUGCUGAACUUAAGCAUAUCAAUAAGCGGAGGA
rnacentral:misc_RNA from 1 species